AGGACAGAGCAAUUGCCUUCUAAGCAAUCGGUCACUGGUUCGACUCCAGUACAACGCGCCA
rnacentral:tRNA from 5 species